rnacentral:rRNA from 1 species
UGGGGAAUUUUGGACAAUGGGGGAAACCCUGAUCCAGCCAUGCCGCGUGAGUGAAGAAGGCCUUCGGGUUGUAAAGCUCUUUCAGCCGGAACGAAAAGGUCACGGCUAAUACCCGUGACAAAUGACGGUACCGGAAGAAGAAGCACCGGCUAACUACGUG